rnacentral:rRNA from 1 species
UGGUGGGGUAAGGGCCGGCCAAGGCUACGAUCCAUAGCUGAUUUGAGAGGAUGAUCAGCCACAUUGGGACUGAGACACGGCCCAAACUCCUACGGGAGGCAGCAGUGAGGAAUAUUGGACAAUGGGGGCAACCCUGAUCCAGCAAUGCCAUGUGUGUGAAGAAGGCCUUAGGGUUGUAAAGCACUUUAGUUGGGGAAGAAAGCUUUGAGGUUAAUAGCCUUGAGGAAAAGGACGUUACCCAAAGAAUAAGCACCGGCUAACUCCGUGCCAGCAGCCGCGGUAAUACGGGGGGUGCAAGCGUUAAUCGGAAUUACUGGGCGUAAAGGGUCUGUAGGUGGUUUGUUAAGUCAGAUGUGAAAGCCUAGGGCUCAACCUUGGAACUGCAUUUGAUACUGGUAAACUAGAGUACGGUAGAGGAAUGGGGAAUUUCUGGUGUAGCGGUGAAAUGCGUAGAGAUCAGAAGGAACACCAAUGGCGAAGGCAACAUUCUGGACCGAUACUGACACUGAGGGACGAAAGCGUGGGGAUCAAACAGGAUUAGAUACCCUGGUAGUCCACGCUGUAAACGAUGAGUACUAGCUGUUGGAGUCGGUGUAAAGGCUCUAGUGGCGCAGCUAACGCGAUAAGUACUCCGCCUGGGGACUACGGCCGCAAGGCUAAAACUCAAAGGAAUUGACGGGGACCCGCACAAGCGGUGGAGCAUGUGGUUUAAUUCGAUGCAACGC